UACGUAGGGUGCAAGCGUUGUCCGGAAUUAUUGGGCGUAAAGAGCUCGUAGGCGGCUUGUCGCGUCUGCUGUGAAAACCCGAGGCUCAACCUCGGGCCUGCAGUGGGUACGGGCAGACUAGAGUGCGGUAGGGGAGAUUGGAAUUCCUGGUGUAGCGGCGGAAUGCGCAGAUAUCAGGAGGAACACCGAUGGCGAAGGCAGAUCUCUGGGCCGUAACUGACGCUGAGGAGCGAAAGCGUGGGGAGCGAACAGG
rnacentral:rRNA from 1 species